GAUAAAAAGUAAAAUGAUAGACACACACUUUUAACAAUUAAGGAAUUUGUGGUCUCCGUCCUGGUGCCCAGGUGCAUGUGGUUGUGCCCUGAGGAGUCUGGGAAAGGGGAAGUUACAAGUUACCCUGACAUUUCACAGGAUAGUUCUUAGAUGCAAAAAGACAAUAGACUCAAUAAAGAUCCGAAGUUGAUCUUUGUCAAGGAAGAUACUGGCCUAGGACAUGACUACCCACUACAAACUGCUUUUUAAUGAAAGGUUUUUAAUCUUAGACCAUCCUGUGUGGUUAUUUACUAGUA